CACGUAGGGCGCAAGCGUUGUCCGGAAUUAUUGGGCGUAAAGAGCUCGUAGGCGGUCUGUUGCGUCCGCUGUGAAAACUCGGGGCUUAACCCCGGGCCUGCAGUGGGUACGGGCAGACUAGAGUGCGGUAGGGGAGACUGGAAUUCCUGGUGUAGCGGUGAAAUGCGCAGAUAUCAGGAGGAACACCGGUGGCGAAGGCGGGUUGCU
rnacentral:rRNA from 1 species